AUCGUUUAUUUUCUGCUUAAUGUUGAAUUUGUUUUGUUUAGAGUGGGUCAUUUUUUUCUAUUUCUAACUUUGUUGUGUUUAGUCUGGGUUAUUUUCUUCUAACUGUUGUAUAUUAACAGGUUUCUUUUACUUCUAACUUUUGUACUUUGUUUUGACUUGUUAGCUAUUUUCAUUCGUUUGGGAAAUUUCUUAAACUUUUACUUUAUUUUGUUUAACAAGGGUAUUUAUUUAGGGUUUUUGUUUUGCGUCAAACAUUUGUUUACUUCUAGCUUGUUUUGUUUAGAGUGCAACAUGAUUUUAUUGUUCAUAUUUAUUUAGUUAUUUGUUCUUAUAACUUUAGUUUAGCGUGGUUUAGUUUAGCAUGAAUUUAGUUUAGCGUGGGAUUUGUUUAGCUUUAUUUUAGUUUAGCGUGGGAUUAUUUAAGAGUGGGUUUAGUUUAGCGUGGGAUUUGUUUAGUGUGCGGAUUGUUUAGAGUGGGAUUAGUUUGUGGGUGUUAUAUCAUGGGUAAUUGUCUAUUAACAUCCAACUUGUUUUGUUAGUGUGGGUCAUUUUAUUUUAUGAGUUUUUUUGUGUGGCUCAUUUUUACUUUUUCAUUUUGUGUUUAACAUUGGUUUGGUAUUUUUUUAUUCUAGCUGGUUUCAUUUAGCGCUGAUCAUUUUUCACUUUGUAACUUUUGUUUUUUCUUUUUGCUUGUAUCCUGUAGCCAUGUGCAAGAAUCCAUUAUUGAAGUCUGAGCUUCUCAGCAGGCUGUUAUUUAACACAGAACGAUUCUGGGAAUUGGCUUUUAUAGAGAUCUGACACUUUGGCUCUUUGGUUUCUGGCUUUGUUUAAGACUUUCUCUCUAUGAACUCCCGGGAGACGCGAGCGAGAGACGUGAGAUUAAAGUGUACUUUAUUAUUUUUUACCCUCUCUUUGUUUUGUAAAAGUACAUGUAGGACUGUUUCGGUCUCUCACUCAGGACUGUGAUACGCAUGAACGUGUGGGAGGCGCCGUACAGUGGGGAGACGAUUAAAAUGAGACACAGGUAAAGGACUGAAAGAAAGUCAGGCAAGCUGCUGCUCCUCAUGCACCUGAAUGGUGGAAUGUGGUAUUAACGAUGGAGAGAGGAAAAAACUUCGCUUUGAGUGACUGCUGCAACAUGAGCACAAUUACAACUAAUGCAAUUAAUGUCUUUAAAUAAGACAUCAAGAAUGACUUAUACCGCAGCGUGCUGACGAGACGUGUGAGAGGCUAUACUCGAAUCUAUACAUACAGGAGAGAGAGACAGCGAGAGAGAGAGAGAGAGAGAGAGAGACAUCGAGAGAGAGAGAGAGAGAGAGAGACAUCGAGAGAGAGAGAGAGAGAGAGAGAGAGACAUAGAGAGAGAGUGACAUCAAGAGAGAGAGAGAGAGAGAGAGAGAGAGAGAGAGAGAGACAGCAAGAGAGCGAGAGAGAGAGAGAAAGAGAGAGACAGUGAGAGAGAGACAUCGAGAGAGAGAGACAGUGAGAGAGAGAGAUACAUUGAGAGAGACAGCGUGAGAGAGAGAGAGACAGUGAGCGAGAGAGAGACAACCGAGAGAGAGAGAGAGAGACAUCGAGAGAGAGAGAGACAUUGAGAGAGAGACAUCAAGAGAGGAGAGAUAGACAUCAAAAGAGAGACAUCGAGAGAGAGAGAGACAUUGAGAGAGAGACACUGAGAGAGAGAGAGACAUUGAGAGAGACAUUGAGAGAGAGAGAGAGAGACAUCAAGAUAGAGAGAGAGAUAGACAUCGAGAGAGAGAGAGAUUGAGAGAGAGACAUCGAGAGAGAGAUCGAGAGAGAGACAUCAAGAGAGAGAGAGAGACAUCGGGAGAGAGAGACAUCGAGAGAGAGAUCGAGAGAGAGACAUCGAGAGAGAGACAAUCGAGAGAGAGACAUCGAGAGAGAGAGACAUCGAGAGAGAGAUCGAGAGAGAGAGAUGGAGAGAGCGAGACAGCGAGAGGGACACACACACACACACACACACACACACACACACACACAGAGUUUAUGGUUUGUGAGAGUGAGCGCUCACAUGACACGACGUCCAGUAAAUCAUCAGCCUUCAGAAAAGUGAUAUUUUGUAAACAAAUCUUUCAAAUGUGUUAGAAAAUAAAUAAAUAAAUAGCCAUGUCAUGUUUAUUGUACAACUUUAUAUCAAACAUUACAAAUGACCACACACACACACACACACACACACACACACA
ensembl:lncRNA